rnacentral:rRNA from 1 species
AUUGAACGCUGGCGGCAUGCCUUACACAUGCAAGUCGAACGGAAAACAUAGCAAUAUGUUCUUAGUGGCGAACGGGUGAGUAACGCGUAGACAACCAACCUUUUUGUGGGGGACAACACUUCGAAAGGAGUGCUAAUACCGCAUACGCUCCAGAUGCCGCCUGGUGUUUGGAGGAAAGGAGCUGUAAGGCUUCGCAAAAAGACGGGUCUGCGUCUGAUUAGCUAGUUGGAGGGGUAACGGCCCACCAAGGCGACGAUAAGUAGCCGGUCUGAGAGGAUGGACGGCCGCACUGGGACUGAGACACGGCCCAGACUCCUACGGGAGGCAGCAGUGGGGAAUCUUCCGCAAUGGACGAAAGUCUGACGGAGCGACGCCGCGUGCGUGAUGAAGGCCCUUGGGUCGUAAAGCUCUGUCAUCAGGGACGAACGGUCACGUCAGGAAAUGGGCGUGAAUUGACGGUACCUGAGAAGGAAGCCACGGCUAACUACGUGCCAGCCGCCGCGGUAA